UACGUAGGGGGCAAGCGUUGUCCGGAUUUAUUGGGCGUAAAGAGCGUGUAGGCGGCUUUACAGGUCCGUUGUGAAAACUCGAGGCUCAACCUCGAGACGCCGGUGGAAACCGUAAGGCUAGAGUCCGGAAGAGGAGAGUGGAAUUCCUGGUGUAGCGGUGAAAUGCGCAGAUAUCAGGAGGAACACCCGUGGCGAAGGCGGCCAGCUAGACCAGUUCUGACACUGAGGCGCGACAGCGUGGGGAGCAAACAGG
rnacentral:rRNA from 1 species